rnacentral:rRNA from 1 species
GAUGAACGCUAGCGGCAGGCUUAAUACAUGCAAGUCGUGGGGCAGCAGGUCUGUAGCAAUACAGAUGCUGGCGACCGGCAAACGGGUGCGGAACACGUACACAACUUUCCUUUAAGUGGGGAAUAGCCCAGAGAAAUAUGGAUUAAUACCCCGUAACAUAGUUAAAAGGCAUCUUUUUAUUAUCAUAUCAGCAAUGCGCUUACUGAUGGGUGUGCGUCUGAUUAGGUAGUUGGCGGAGUAAUAGCCCACAAAGCCUACGAUCAGUAACUGGUUUGAGAGCACGACCAGUCACACGGGCACUGAGACACGGGCCCGACUCCUACGGGAGGCAGCAGUAAGGAAUAUUGGGCAAUGGACGCAAGUCUGACCCAGCCAUGCCGCGUGGAGGAUGAAGGUCCUCUGGAUUGUAAACUUCUUUUAUCUGGGAAGAAAUCCAUCUUUUCUUGAGUGGUUGACGGUACCAGAUGAAUAAGCACCGGCUAACUCCGUGCCAGCAGCCGCAGUAACAC